rnacentral:rRNA from 1 species
CACGCCGUAAACGAUGUCAACUAGCCGUUGGGAGCCUUGAGCUCUUAGUGGCGCAGCUAACGCAUUAAGUUGACCGCCUGGGGAGUACGGCCGCAAGGUUAAAACUCAAAUGAAUUGACGGGGGCCCGCACAAGCGGUGGAGCAUGUGGUUUAAUUCGAAGCAACGCGAAGAACCUUACCUGGACUUGACAUACCCUGAAUAUCUUAGAGAUAAGAGAAGCCCUUCGGGGCAGGGAUACAGGUGG